rnacentral:rRNA from 1 species
GGUAGUAGCAAAUAUUCAAAUGAGAACUUUGAAUGGUGAAAAGGGGAGAGGUUCAAUGUGAAUGGCACUAGCACAUGGGUUAGUCGACCCUAUGGGUCGAGGGAACCCAAACAGAUAAUGCAUUUCGUGGGUACCCCGAAAGGGAAUCGGGUUAAGAUUCCUGAACCGAGACGUGACGGUUGACGACAACGUUAGGAAGUCGGGAGAUGUCGGUGGGAGCCUCGGGAAGAGUUGUCUUUUCUGUUUAACAGCAUGCCCACCAUGGAAUCGGCUCUGCCGGAGGUAGGGUCCAACGGCUGGAACAGCACCAGACGUCACGUGCUGUCCGGUGCACUCCCGGCGACCCUUUAAAAUCCAGAGGACCGAAUGUUGUCUAUGCUCGGUCGUACUCAUAACCGCAUCAGGUCUCCAAAAUGAACAACCUCUAGUU